UACAGAGGUCUCGAGCGUUGUUCGGAUUCAUUGGGCGUAAAGGGUGCGUAGGUGGCGUGGUAAGUCGGAUGUGAAAUCCCGGGGCUCAACCCCGGAACUGCAUUCGAUACUGCCUUGGUAGAGUACUGGAGAGGAGAUUGGAAUUUACGGUGUAGCAGUGAAAUGCGUAGAUAUCGUAAGGAAGACCAGUGGCGAAGGCGGAUCUCUGGACAGUUACUGACACUGAGGCACGAAGGCCAGGGGAGCAAACGGG
rnacentral:rRNA from 1 species